rnacentral:rRNA from 1 species
CCGGCGACCGGCGCACGGGUGAGUAACACGUAUGGAACCUGCCCGCAGCAGGGGGAUAAGCGGAAGAAAUUCCGUCUAAUACCGCGUAACAACGUUGGGAGGCAUCUCCCGAUGUUUAAAGAUUUAUCGGCUGCGGAUGGCCAUGCGGCGCAUUAGCUAGUCGGCGGGGUAACGGCCCACCGAGGCGACGAUGCGUAGGGGUUCUGAGAGGAAGGUCCCCCACAUUGGAACUGAGACACGGUCCAAACUCCUACGGAAGGCAGCAG